UGGGGAAUCUUGGACAAUGGGGGCAACCCUGAUCCAGCCAUGCCGCGUGAGUGAUGAAGGCCUUAGGGUCGUAAAGCUCUUUCGCCUGUGAAGAUAAUGACGGUAGCAGGUAAAGAAACCCCGGCUAACUCCGUGCCAGCAGCCGCGGUAAUACGGAGGGGGUUAGCGUUGUUCGGAAUUACUGGGCGUAAAGGGCGCGUAGGCGGCCCGAUAAGUCCCAAGGUGAAAGCCCUCGGCUCAACCGAGGAACUGCCUUGGAUACUGUCGGGCUCGAGGCUGGAAGAGGGUGAUGGAAUUGCCCGGUGUAGCGGUGAAAUGCGUAGAUAUCGGGAGGAACACCGGUGGCGAAGGCGGUCACCUGGGCCAGUACUGACGCUGAGGCGCG
rnacentral:rRNA from 1 species